CAGCAAUCUACACACAUACACUCACACACCCCGUCCCUUUCCCUCCUCGCAGAAGCCGAGGAGAUGCCAUGUGAGGGUGCAGCGAGGAGUUGGGCUGUCUAAAAGCAAAGAAAGAGAUUGCAUCAGACACCGCAUCUGCUGACACCUUGUUCUUGGACUUCCAGCUUCCAAAACCGCGAGAAAUAAAUGUCUGUGUCUAAACCCCAACCCUACCACCUCAACUGCCGUGUGUGGUGUUUUGUGAUGGCAGCCCCAGCUGACUGAGACACCUGGUUAGACCGGAAUAAGCAGGCUGCAAUCGGUAGCAGUCACCAUUGAACAUCCUUGAAGCAAUUCUUCCAAAAUUACCUUGCAUCAAAGACUGCACAAGAACUGCUCUAAGCGGAAGGACUGAUGUCGGCAACCAGGGUUCCACCAGGGGCUGCAGACAGCCCUUGACCUUCAGGUAGAACUGGAAGAUUUUGCUGAAAGAUUGGACAUGGCAUUCAGAGAAACAGAGGUUUUAAUGACAAACUCCAAGUUUUUGGCUGGAGCAACUGGAAGAAUGAGGUUGCCAUGAACCGAAAAGAGAGAUUGCAGAAGUAACCAAAUUUACUCACGUAGGCCAGGAAUUUCUAUGACGUGUUCCAAAUUCAGCCUCUCACUGAACACUUCCAGAGCAAGGCAACAUAAACAUCUGCAAGAAGAACAUUGUGUGAGAAAUAUCAAGUGAGAGUGGAAGAGUCUGCGGAGGGCCUCCCUGGGGCUCACCUGUGCUUUUGCCUGAGCUUCACCGUGUCAAGCACUUUUUCCCUCUGGAGGAAGCAGCUUUCACCUUGGAAGAAUCUUGACCUUGCCAUUCAAAGUCACCAGACAGGGAAUCUGCCAGUGCCUUGAUCUUAGACUUCCCAGCUUCUGUAACUGUGAGCAAUAAAUGUAUGCUGCUUAUAAACUAUCCAGUCUCAUGCAUUUUGUUAUAGCAAUAUAAACAGAUGAAGACAGACAUAAACAUAUCUUUUUGAGAGAUGCAAUGCAACCCAUACCACCAGGAUUGCCACAUGUUUGCUGAUUUCACCUGGUAGCAAGGCUUAGCUAUCUUGGCUUGAAUGUAAUACCUCCAUCUUUUCUCUUGGUCAUCCUCUUUAAGCAGAGGACUUUUAUCUACCCAAGCAGAAUCCUGUGUUCUUGCUAUUCGAAGUGCAGCCCAGCCUCCUGCAGCCACCACAUCACUUGUGAUGCUUGACAGAAAUGCAGACUCUCUGUUCCCACCUCAAACCUACUGACUUGGGAAUCUGCAGCUUACCAAGAUCUCCAGGUGAUCCACGUACACGUCAAACUUUGAAAAGCAGUGGUUUGCAGAACAAAAAGGAUUCAGCUUCUGAUAUGGUUUGGAUUUGUGUCUGUACCCAAAUCUCAUGUCAAAUUGUAAUCCCCAGUGUUGGAGGAGGAGCCUGGUGAAAGGUAAUUGGAUCACGGGGGCAAACUUCCCCCUUGCUGUUAUCAUGAUAGUGAGUGAGUUCUCAUGAGAGCUGGUUGUUUAAAAGUUUAAAAGCACCUCCCCCUUCGCUCUCUCUUCCACCUUCUCCAGCAAUGUAAAAUGAACCUGCUUCCCCU
rnacentral:lncRNA from 10 species